rnacentral:rRNA from 1 species
UACAGAGGGUGCAAGCGUUGCUCGGAAUUAUUGGGCGUAAAGGGGAGGUAGGUGGUCUCAUUUGUCUGGGGUGAAAUCCUUGAGCUUAACUCAAGAAGUGCCCUAGAAACGGUGAGACUGGAGUACUGGAGAGGGUCGUGGAAUUCCCGGUGUAGCGGUGAAAUGCGUAGAGAUCGGGAGGAACACCAGAGGCGAAGGCGGCGACCUGGACAGUUACUGACACUCAACUCCGAAAGCGUGGGGAGCAAACAGG